CCCUUAGAUGUUCUGGGCUGCACGCGUGUUACAAUCGGGAGUACAACAAGAUUGCAAAUCCUAGUGGAUGAGUGGUUCUUCGAAAUUUUCUGAAGACUGGGAUAGUUGAUUGAAAUUAUUCAACUCGAACGAGGAAUUCCUUGUAAUUGUAAUUCAUUAUAUUAUAAUGAAUACGUCCCUGCCCUUUGUACACACCGCCCGUCGCUCCUACCGAUUGAACGAUCCGGUGAAUUAUUUGGAGUAGCUCUGGAAGUUGCAGAACUUCCUAUGUCACGAAAUUUUGUAAACCUUAUCGUUUAGAGGAAGGAAAAGUCGUAACA
rnacentral:rRNA from 1 species